rnacentral:rRNA from 1 species
CACGUAGGCACCAAGCGUUGUCCGGAUUUAUUGGGCGUAAAGAGCUCGUAGGCGGUUCAGUAAGUCGGGUGUGAAAACUCUGGGCUUAACCCAGAGCCGCCACUCGAUACUGCUGUGACUUGAGUUCGGUAGGGGAGUGGGGAAUUCCUGGUGUAGCGGUGAAAUGCGCAGAUAUCAGGAGGAACACCGGUGGCGAAGGCGCCACUCUGGGCCGAAACUGACGCUGAGGAGCGAAAGCGUGGGGAGCGGACAGG